UACAGAGGUCCCAAGCGUUUGUUCGGAUUCACUGGGCGUAAAGGGUGCGUAGGUGGUGAGGUAAGUCGGAUGUGAAAUCUCGGAGCUCAACUCCGAAAUGGCAUUGGAAACUACCUCGCUAGAGGAUCGGAGGGGAGACUGGGAAUUCUCGGUGUAGCAGUGAAAUGCGUAGAUAUCGAGAGGAACACCAGUGGCGAAGGCGAGUCUCUGGACGAUUCCUGACGCUGAGGCACGAAAGCCAGGGGAGCAAACGGG
rnacentral:rRNA from 1 species